UACGGAGGAGGCAAGCGUUAUCCGGAAUUAUUGGGCGUAAAGCGUCCGCAGGUGGCGAUUCAAGUCUGCGGUCAAAGACUGGGGCUUAACCCUGGAAAGGCCGUGGAAACUGAAUAGCUAGAGUGCAGUAGGGGUAGAGGGAAUUCCCGGUGUAGCGGUGAAAUGCGUAGAGCUCGGGAAGAACAUCGGUGGCGAAAGCGCUCUGCUGGAUUGCAACUGACACUCAGGGACGAAAGCUAGGGGAGCGAAUGGG
rnacentral:rRNA from 1 species